UACGUAGGUGGCAAGCGUUGUCCGGAUUACUGGGCGUAAAGAGCGCGCAGGCGGUCGGAUAAGUCGAAUGUGAAAGCCCCCGGCUCAACUGGGGAGGGUCAUUCGAUACUGAUCGACUCGAAGGCAGGAGAGGGUAGUGGAAUUCCCGGUGUAGUGGUGAAAUGCGUAGAUAUCGGGAGGAACACCAGUGGCGAAGGCGACUACCUGGCCUGUUUCUUGACGCUGAGGCGCGAAAGCUAGGGGAGCAAACGGG
rnacentral:rRNA from 1 species